rnacentral:tRNA from 2 species
GCCGUGGUAGCUCAGGGGUAGAGCGCAUCCUUGGUAAGGAUGAGGUCGUGAGUUCAAUUCUCAUCCUCGGCU